UGGCAUCCCUCCUUGAACUGCCUACUGAGC
rnacentral:piRNA from 1 species